CGGGGCCCCGCUCGGGCCCGGCGGCGGCGGCGGCGCGGCGCGCGCGGUUGCUAUGGGAACGGCGGGCGGCGGAGCCAGGCCGGGGCCCUGCGGAGGCGCUGGCGGGUCCCGACCGAGUCCCCCGGGCAGCGCCCGGUGCCCCCGCCGGCCGUAGUGCUCGUCCCUGGGGGUGCCGCCUGGCCGGGCGGGGGCGAAGGGCCGGACUGUGCGUGAUUUCUUUGCGUCAAAAUUUCACCGGGGUGAAAGUGCAUCAGUUGUGAUUGUUUAGAAAUAACCCAGAUGAUGGUGUCUGAUCUACUGUCAGUUCAUUGUCAUAAACUGUGUGAGAGAAUAGAAGUUACCAGAUGGUCUGAGUCACAGUGCAGAAACAUAUUUUUGUUUUUAGUACUUUGCAGAGGAAUGCAAGCUUCAAAGACUGAAAAUAGAAGAAAAGCAGAACCAUUCUACUGGCUGUCAGUGGCAAAGCCUAAGACCAGUUCUGAGAUUGUAAAUGAAGCCAGAGAUGCUCUACAAACAGUAAAAACUCAAAGGCUAUUCACACCUACAGAUGAACAAAGGAAACUUUUUGGGUCUCAAUCCUCACGAUGUCCUCAAAAUAGAUGCCCUCUACUUUAUAGUCUUGAUACUUCCAGUUCUGAUUCGUCUGAAUCAAGACCGAAUUCUGCUGUUCGUCUAAGUCCACUGACUCACAAACCAGUAGUAAUAAUUUCUGAAAAAAAAGAUGAAGCUUCUUCUGUUUUCCAUCCAACACCUCCUGCUGAUGCUGCAGAGGUUAGAAAAGUCAGCAGUGCUUGCAAACGCUUAUUUAGAACACCUUCUCUGAAAGAUUUAUUUUCUCCUAAGGUGGUUCCUCUGGAUCAGAAUGGAGUGAAACUUGAUUUUGAAGAGCCAGCUACGAUGAUGAAUAGUCUUGACAGAAGUAAUAGUAACUGCUUAGCAGAACAAAAGUUGUACACAUCAUUUAAUGAUGAGAGUAGACAAUUAAUUUGUAAUGAACAUACCAGCAGAUCAGGAAUUGAAGACUCCAUGGAAGGAACACCAGGAAACUUUUCACUUCAGCUUCAAGGAGAAAGUGACCAGAUGGAGGAGCCUGGCAAAAAGUCAUCUCAGCUGAGGACUUCAGGCCAGAAGAGAAGAGUAACAGGCCUAAAGGAUGAAACAAGAAUAAAUGAAUGGGAAGAGGAAGAUUUCUUUUGGCAUACAAGGAUUCUUCCAAUUCUGCGUGACCUGGAAAAAAGAGAAGACAAUAUAGAACACCUUUGUCUAGCUUGUACCAAGCUCCAUCAAGCAUUGGGUGAUGGAAAUAUGCUUGGAAAAAGAUUUAAAAGAAGAAAUAUCCUUCUGAAGACAUUAUAUAGACUUGUAGACCUUGAUUCAGAUCCACUUUCCCUGAAGCUGGCAAAGAUUAUUCUGGCUAUGAAAGUAGAUGGAAAAAAUCUUCUUAGUGUUUGCAAGCUAGCAUUUAAAAUUUGUAGGAACGAAAAAAAUUAUUUCAUCAUUCAAAAUGAUACAUUAUUGGAUUAUUUGUUGCAGGUUCUGUGGAAUGAAGAUCUACAAACAAACCACGAAGCUCUCGUCUAUUGCAUGGCAGCUAUAAAAGUCAUGUCUGAAAAGGAAGUGCUCCGUUUUAAAAUGGUCAGCAAAGGAGCUAUUGAAAUGUUUCUGGAAUUAAUGAAGCAGAUUAAUAACAUAAAAGAACAUGACACAUAUUUCUCCAAGUUGGGCCACUUAUUAGUCCAGCUGUGGCUAAUGCCUGUCCCUUGCCGUGCGCAGCUGGCAGCCACCCUGCGGAUCCUGGCCAACUGCGCCCAGGCGCGCCGCCAGCUCAGCCCCGGCGCCGCCAUCCCCGAGCUCUGCGUGGCGCUGGAGCAGCGCAGCGGCGACAAGGACGUGUGCAUCUGGAUUGUCAGCGUGCUCAGCAAACUUUCUACCUACAAUGACUUCUGUGCAGCAUUAGCAGAGUGCUCCAGAUGUUACAUUGUAUUUUUAGCCCUGCUAAACAAAUACCAGAAGCAGCAGGAUUUGGUUAUCCGUAUCAUCUUCAUUCUUGGUAAUUUAACAGCAAGGAAUGACCAGUCCCGGGAGCAAUUUUUUAAAGAAAAAGAAAGUGUUAACACCUUGACAUCAUUAUUCCAAACCUACUAUGAACUUGAUUUGAAUGAAAUGACAUGGCACCAUGAUAGAAAAGGAAAAAACCAACAAAAGUAUCCUUCAGAAGCAGAAGAUGUUCUGAUAAAACUGAUAAGAGUGCUGGCCAAUCUCUCCAUUCACCCUAGAGUAGGUGCAGCUCUGGUAGCUGCCCAUCCUGUUGUAGGAUUACUUGUUACAGUACUAGAAUACAAGUCAGUCGAUGCCUGUGAAGAGUUGGUCAUCAAUGCUGCAACAACAAUCAACAAUUUGUCCUACUACCUAGUGGAGAAUUCUGCAGUUCAAGACAAGAAGCUACACAUUGCUGAAAUGCUUUUAAAGCUGUUAAUGAGUGACAAUAUGGAUGCAGUUGUGGAGGCUGUCAGAGUCUUUGGCAAUCUUUCCCAGCAUCAUGAGAUCCGUGACUUCAUCAUGCAGAGAAAGAUAUACAAGUUUGUGAUUGCUUUGCUGGAUUCCAAGAACCGAGAGGUCUGUUUUCCUGCCUGUGGAGUUCUGCUCAAUCUCACAGUAGAUGAGAACAAAAGAGCUUUUCUCAUGGAAGAAGGAGGAAUUGGAAAGUUGGUUGACUGCUUACAAGACUUUGGGCCGGCAGACUGGCAGCUCUCGUGUUUGAUCUGCAAGACCCUGUGGAACUACAGCGAGAACACGGCGAGCUCCUCCUGCUUCGGGGGCAACACCAGCGCGCUGCUGGCGCUGCUCACUGCACUUCUGGGUGAGACUCCUAGCCCUGGCCUCUUUGCCUCAAGGAAAGAGACACAAGGAGCAAAAUCAAAGCAGGAUGAAGAGGUAGAGUUGGAGGGCAGCCUUGACAGAGAUAUAAAGGACUGCCAAAGAGUAUAUUGGGAAAGAGAGUUCAAACCCGUGGCAGAAAAACUUCUUGACAGAAUUCAAAGCCAUCACUCUUCCAGCUGAGUCUCACUCCAUUUUAAUCAGUCGGAGUGUUUUUAUCAGCUGAAAGGAAGAUAAAUGGCUUCAAUGUCCUAUUUGUUUCUGGGAGAAAAUAAUGGAUUUGCUUUGAGAGAGUAUUAAAGAAAGGAUGAUGGGUAAGUAGUCCCUGUGGGGAAGAAGCUGGAGGCAUUUGUUCCUGGCAUUUGUGUCACUGCAAGGCAGGCAAACACCCAGCUGUGCAGGGCAGGGUGGGGGCACUGGAAAAGGCCCCUGUGGCGAAGCCCUGUUAGCAGGACUAACCAGAAUUGACAAGGGCUGAAUCUCUGUCAGAAGGCAGCUGAUACUGAUGGCUGGCUCAAGUCAAGGUGGUGCUUGGGCAAUUAAGAUUUGUUCAAAUACAACACUGAUUAUGUCAGUUAUUCCUGAUCAAACUGUAACCAAGAGCCUGAAGCACUGUGUCUGCAGCUGGGCAGAGCUGGGCAUCCUGGGGCAGCCACCACCACGUGUGAGCUCUGGCCUUUGUACAGGAAGAGGCACGUUCAGAGGAGCUGGAUGGAGAAGAGAGGGUGGCACAGGGCUCUUGAGCACCUCUCCGGCUGAGCUGUACAGCCUCUCUCUUUCUCUGAAGAAAAACCUGUGAGCAGCAAGAAGCAGCCCCAGCAUGCUGGAUUUCAGGAGUAUUUCUUCAAAUAAUUUGGAAAAGUCUUAAUAAAUUCAUAUACAGACUACAGCUGCACUACCUGAAGAGCACACAAACAUGCUUUCUCUCUUCUCUCUCUCAAAACGCGUGGCCAUCUCUUCUUGGCUGGCUUCCUCUUCAUCUCUGCACUCCUGCAGCUGCUUCAUCUUCUCCAUAAGAGCUUCAACUUCACAGACAGACUCUGUAGACUAAAAAGAAGAGAAAGACAUUUCAUUUUCAUGCAACGGGAACUGACAAUGAUGGCAGUAAUUACCAAGCCAGAAAGUUUAAAAACAACUGAAGUCCUUUACAUCUUUAAAUAAAGAUUUUCCAAGGAACACAGUUUUUGAAAGAAA